rfam:Oryza rufipogon genomic scaffold, chr08
AAUAAGAGUAGUUUACACCGUUCAUGUUCAACGUUUGAUCGUUCAUCUUAUUUAAAAUUAUUUUAUAAUUAUUAUAUUUAUUAUUAUUAGACGAUAAAAUAUGAAUAGAACUUUAUAUGUGGCUAAUUAUUUUUAAUUUUUUAAUAAAUUUUUAAAAUAAGAUGGACGGUUAAAUGUUAGACACGGAUACUCACGACCGUACUUAUU